GUGGGGAAUAUUGGACAAUGGGGGCAACCCUGAUCCAGCCAUGCCGCGUGUGUGAAGAAGGCCUUUUGGUUGUAAAGCACUUUAAGCGAGGAGGAGGCUUACCUGGUUAAUACCUGGGAUAAGUGGACGUUACUCGCAGAAUAAGCACCGGCUAACUCUGUGCCAGCAGCCGCGGUAAUACAGAGGGUGCAAGCGUUAAUCGGAUUUACUGGGCGUAAAGCGCGCGUAGGUGGCUAAUUAAGUCAAAUGUGAAAUCCCCGAGCUUAACUUGGGAAUUGCAUUCGAUACUGGUUAGCUAGAGUAUGGGAGAGGAUGGUAGAAUUCCAGGUGUAGCGGUGAAAUGCGUAGAGAUCUGGAGGAAUACCGAUGGCGAAGGCAGCCAUCUGGCCUAAUACUGACACUGAGGUGCGAAAGCAUGGGGAGCAAACAGG
rnacentral:rRNA from 1 species